GUAUUAAUAGCUUAGUUAAAGCACAAAUUUUUUAAGUUUGAGACGUAUUUUUUACUUAGUAUU
rnacentral:tRNA from 1 species